rnacentral:rRNA from 1 species
GACGAACGCUGGCGGCGUGCUUAACACAUGCAAGUCGAACGGAAAGGCCCUGCUUUUGUGGGGUGCUCGAGUGGCGAACGGGUGAGUAACACGUGAGUAACCUGCCCUUGACUUUGGGAUAACUUCAGGAAACUGGGGCUAAUACCGGAUAGGAGCUCCUGCUGCAUGGUGGGGGUUGGAAAGUUUCGGCGGUUGGGGAUGGACUCGCGGCUUAUCAGCUUGUUGGUGGGGUAGUGGCUUACCAAGGCUUUGACGGGUAGCCGGCCUGAGAGGGUGACCGGCCACAAUGGGACUGAGAUACGGCCCAGACUGCUACGGGAGGCAGCAGUGGAGAAUAUUGCACAAUGGGCGGAAGCCUGAUGCAGCAACGCCGCGUGCGGGAUGACGGCCUUCGGGUUGUAAACCGCUUUCGCCUGUGACGAAGCGUGAGUGACGGUAAUGGGUAAAGAAGCACCGGCUAACUACGUG